UAUUCUAUAAAUAAGGGGAAGGAUUGCUGUAUGGUACCUGACUUUCUUCUACAGGCCUCUGGAGCAAAUCUGUUAGCAUCUUAAAAUAAACUAUUUGCUCCAGAUAGUUUGUUUGUAUUCUCCAGGCUGAAUUUGUCUCCUCAUCCAUUUUUCAUCACUUUUGGUUUGGUCUUUGUGAAUCUUUCUGUGCCUUUUUCCCUGUCUGACUCUGACAAAGAGAUAUUGGUGGGGGGCGUAUUUAACAAAAGACAACAUAGGAAAUCCUCUCCUCUUCCUCUCCUCUUCCUCUCCUCUUCCUCUCCUCUUCCUCUCCUCUUCCUCUCCUCUUCCUCUCCUCUUCCUCUCCUCUUCCUCUCCCUUAGGGGUAGCAGUGCACACACAGGAAGGGCAAAAUGCAAAGUGUGAUUUUGUUUACGUCGUGGCAGCUGCAGGGAAUCUCACCUCACUGCUGCUUAAGAGGAGGCUCAGCUGGACAGCCCAGCCUUUCCCUCGACACGUAAAUUACAGAUUUCAUGACCACUUUGCUUCAAUAUCUUCCCCCCAUCAAGCUGCUUCUGCUGGGAGAAGUCUCAUGUGACAAACACCUGUAGUGCUGCUGCCAGGUAAUGAGCAGCUCCCGAAGCUCAUGUUCAUCAUGCAGAAAAAGAAGACGUGGAGCAGUGAGCAGAAGGAGGGAGAUUUCCAUCCCGAUGUGUUGAAUCCAUUACAGCUGAGACCCGCACGGAGAGCAGCGGGGGAGCACGGAUUCCUCAGGUGCCAAAUGCUAUUUGCUUCAUUUCUUAUCUCUCAGGCUCCUGAGAGACUGAAAAUUGCCCCUUCUUCCCUACCUCUCUAUUAGGACCUUUCAUGUCAGUUGGCCAGGUUUAAUGGAUGAUAAAGUCGCUGGGCUUGCAGCAGCACUGAGCUUUUGCUUUCAACUCAGCACACACAGCCCGCAGAAGGACUGUGCCAGGCGAACGCUGUGCUUUGAUACUGUUUUUGCUAAAGCAGUGGUAAUUUGCAGUGAUGAAGUUCACUGUGGGUAAAGCUCUGGGUUUGCAUGUACUGGGUAUCCCUGUGUGUCGUGGCUUCCUGCCUCAGCCUGCAGAGAUGCUGAGCCCCAGCUUGGAACUUGCCAUAGGGGUGGGGAUCCCACAACUCGAA
rnacentral:lncRNA from 1 species